UGCGGAAGGAUCAUUAUUGAAACAUUGUAAAGGAAGGUUGAGCUGGCUCUUCUAGAGCAAGUGCUUGCCUUUCUUUCAAUUAUUCAUCCACCUGUGCACUUUUUGUAGGAAGAACGAGAAAGCAAGGCCUUCGUAACGGAGGUCUUUCUAGUAUCGGGCUUUCUAUGUCUUUACACACUCCCGUAUGUCUUUGAAUGUCUUUUAUAAGGGUCUUAGUUGACCCUUUUAAUAAAAACUAUACAACUUUCAGCAACGGAUCUCUUGGCUCUCGCAUCGAUGAAGAACGCAGCGAAAUGCGAUAAGUAAUGUGAAUUGCAGAAUUCAGUGAAUCAUCGAAUCUUUGAACGCACCUUGCGCCUCUUGGUAUUCCGAGAGGCAUGCCUGUUUGAGUGUCAUUAAAUUCUCAACCUCAAAAGCUUUUUUGUUUCUGAGGCUUGGAUGUGGAGGUUUUUGCCGGCUUGCUUAGAGUCGGCUCCUCUCAAAUGCAUUAGUGGAAACUGUUUGUAGUCCGCAUUGGUGUGAUAAUUAUCUGCGCCGUUGUAUUCGUGGCUACAGCUCUUCGUUCGCGAAGGGUUAACAUAGUAUUCGCUUCGAACCGUCCUAAAUCGCUGGACAACACUUGACUAUUUGGACCUCAAAUCAGGUAGGACUACCCGCUGAACUUAAGCAUAUC
rnacentral:sRNA from 1 species